CGCUGUCUGUGAGCACGCUCCUGGGGACCUCUGGCCUUGUGAGAAACAUCAGGCAACUGUGUGGAGGAAUAAGCCGCUUCAGCCUUCCACAGCCAGAUGUUUUGCACUAAAGUCCCAUCAGCCUCCUUUGAGUGUAGCCUCCUGACCACAGCCGUCUCUUCUCUCUGCCCAAUUCCUCUCCUCCUCCUCUCCCUUUUUCUCCUCUUGCUCUCAUUCAUUUGGACCGGUCAGGGACAGAGUUGUUCCCUGCAGCAGUGAAUGCUAUGAGGAACCCAGAGUGGCAGAGUGAGAACAUCUCCAGUCUAUGAUGUCCUCACAGGAAGCCCAUUCAGACUCUCAAGACCUGGUAGGACUAUACCGAGACAUUGGCAUAGGCCAAUCCAGACUAUAUUUGACAAGGACAGCGUACCUUGUCCUGAAGAAUUUCCUUACCCUUGAUUUUUGAGAGUUUGUAUUUUACAACAUGCAGCACAACAACGAGCUCUGUGUAACCUGAAUGCUCCCAUACUAUGUUGGAAACUGACUAUUGGUCCAAAGAAAAGGCAUUGAGUUAACCUGUGCCAGUAGCAUUUUGCUUCCUUUUAAAACAAUUACUCACCACUAGAUGGUAGUAUUCCUCUCUUUUGCAACCAG
rnacentral:lncRNA from 1 species